AAUCCCAAAGGUGCUUCCACCACCAGUUCCCAUCUACAAACCAAAACCUCCAAUCCCGAAAUUGCUUCCACCAAUUCCCAUCUACAAACCAAAACCCCCAAUCCCGAAAGUGCUUCCACCAAUUCCCAUUUACAAGCCAAAACCCCCAAUCCCGAAGGUGCUUCCACCACCAGUUCCCAUCUACAAACCAAAACCCCCAAUCCCGAAAUUGCUUCCACCAAUUCCCAUCUACAAACCAAAACCCCCAAUCCCGAAGGUGCUUCCACCGAUUCCCAUCUACAAACCAAAACCCCCAAUCCCAAAGGUGCUUCCACCACCAAUUCCCAUCUACAAACCAAAACCCCCAAUCCCGAAGGUGCUUCCACCGAUUCCCAUCUACAAACCAAAAC
rnacentral:lncRNA from 1 species